CUGCCACUGAAGUUGAUCCAAGAGCUGGCUAUGGCCUUGCGCCGGGGUCGCAGGAUUCCAGGCUGUGCAAGUCCCCAGAAGAGCCACUGUCAAAGUCAUCAAGCCCAGAGACUCUGGGCAGGCACAGGUGUGAACUUCAGCCAACAGGACCAGAACCUACAUGACCCACCUCCUGAGGGCCACCUUCAGGAAGACACUGGCAGCUUGCUUGAAUGCUUCUGCCACUUUCAUUGAGGGAGUCAGUGCCAUGGAUCUCUCUGUGGGCUCCUUUCCCAGGGACCCUCCUGCUAAGUGUUCUCAAGUCCACCUAAAAGUGGAAAAGGAUAUCCGGGGAACUUAUAGGCUACAGGGCCAGGGCAUCUGUAGCCAGUCCACAGGCCCUGAAGAUGGAGGGACAGGCUUAGUUCAGAUCUUUCUAGACUGGCACUGGUAUCAAACUCAAAGUGCUCUGCAGAUGGGGUGGGUUAUGCGGCCUCUAGGUUGAGAAACAAUGAAACUGACUCUUAUUGUUGGAGAGUUACCUACUGGGGAGGCCCUCUGAACUAGGGUUCUUCCACUUCUCUGCUGGAAAUGAACAAGGCCACUGAGACUAGGUGGGGCCCUAGCAGAGCCUGGCCCUGACCUCUGGCUGGCUGGAUUGCCUAGACAAAGCUACCCAACAGUGACAGCUGGUAAGGUCCUGACAUCACUCAGCCAGGUCCUGCCCUGCCAGGGACCAGAUAUGUGUGUGCAGUUUGUCUGUUCUUUGCUUCAGCAUACAUCAAGCUGUUGUUUCCAAAGUAAAGUUACAAAAAUUCCAAAGUAAACUUUUCAUUAAUUCAAA